UACGAAGGGGGCUAGCGUUGCUCGGAAUUACUGGGCGUAAAGCGCACGUAGGCGGCUUUCUAAGUCGGGGGUGAAAUCCUGGAGCUCAACUCCAGAACUGCCUUCGAUACUGGAGAGCUCGAGUCCGGGAGAGGUGAGUGGAACUGCGAGUGUAGAGGUGAAAUUCGUAGAUAUUCGCAAGAACACCAGUGGCGAAGGCGGCGCACUGGCCCGGUACUGACGCUGAGGUGCGAGAGCGUGGGGAGCAAACAGG
rnacentral:rRNA from 1 species